rnacentral:rRNA from 1 species
AUACGGAGGGUGCAAGCGUUAUCCGGAUUUAUUGGGUUUAAAGGGUGCGUAGGCGGCUCUUUAAGUCAGUGGUGAAAGCCUGGCGCUUAACGCCAGAAAUGCCAUUGAUACUGGAGAGCUUGAGUCAAGAAGAGGUAAGCAGAAUUCAUGGUGUAGCGGUGAAACGCUUAGAUACCAUGAGGAAUUCCAAUAGCGAAGGCAGCUUACUGGUCUUUGACUGAUGCUGAGGCACGAAAGCGUGGGGAGCGAACAGGAUUAGAAACCCCAGUAGUCC